rnacentral:rRNA from 1 species
GACGUAGGGCGCGAGCGUUGUCCGGAUUUAUUGGGCGUAAAGAGCUCGUAGGCGGCUUGUCGCGUCGACUGUGAAAACCCGCGGCUCAACCGUGUGGUCUGCAGUCGAUACGGGCAGGCUAGAGUUCGGUAGGGGAGACUGGAAUUCCUGGUGUAGCGGUGAAAUGCGCAGAUAUCAGGAAGAACACCGAUGGCGAAGGCAGUUCUCUGGGACGGUACUGACGCUGAGACGCGAAAGCGUGGGGAGCGAACAGG